AUAAUUACCUGGCAGGGGAGAUACCAUGAUCACGAAGGUGAUCUUCCCAGGGCAAGGAUUAUCCAUUGCACUCCGGAUGUGCCGACCCCCGCGAUUUCCCCGGAAAAAAAGAAAAAAGGUGCUGUUUUACAUC
rnacentral:snRNA from 1 species